GCGACCCCAGGUCAGGCGGGGCUGCCCGCUGAAUU
rnacentral:rRNA from 1 species